CACAAAUUUGGCCCAUCGCUGCUACACAGUAAAGCCACAAAUUUGGCCCGUCGCUGCUACAUGGUUAAGCCACAAAUUUGGCCCAUCGCUGCUACACAGUAAAGCCACAAAUUUGGCCCGUCGUUGCUACACGGUAAAGCCACAAAUUUGGCCCGUCGCUUAUACCGGGAUAUUAAAGAAAAAACUACCCUAAUCUAACCUUUUUGCCUAAUAAAAUAGGUUAAGCAAGCUAACUUUAAGACAGUGACUUUUUAUGUAUUGCCAAAAUAUGAUGCUUGUUAUUAUUUACACACCGUUAUCUUCCAGAAACCACCAAAUGACUGACUUUUCAAUGCCUGAGGUGCACUCGGUGACGUUCCCCGCCCAUCCCUGCAUCAUGACCCACCCGCCCCCCUGGCAUGAUUUGGAUCAGGUCAGACUUGGCGGAGCAGUACACGGAUCAACUGAGGGAUUCCGUGGAGCGCAUCGUCAGCGGAAAGGGUCGGCUGCUGGGGCCGUCCGCAUGCUCGCUGAGACCUCUCCGGACCACCAAGUACAGUGAGCUCAAGAGUCGCAACAUGCACGGACUUGAUCCCCUGGUGGUGUGCUGAGCGGGCUGGUGCAGGAGCCGUCAGUGAGGCAGGCUGUGGAGGGCAAGUCCGGGCUGAGGCUGGAGGAGGAUGGCCUGUCCCUCACAUCCUCUCUGACGGGGAGGAGGUUACGCAGAUGACGCUCUCCAGGGACCAGCUCUAUGCGGUGGAGGCGGUGGCUGAGUGAAUAGCGUGACGGCGCCGCGUUCAGAACGACGUGAGUUCAAUCCCCGCCCGGUGCCACCAAGCUGGGAUUUUUCAGCCGCCGCCGAGUGGCUUAAAACUACCCACAUGCUGUCCAGAAGACCACCCAUCAACCCAGACUCUAGAUUCUAGGAUUAAAGAUGAGCUCCGGGAGGGCAGCAUGAGCCAAUGCAAGAUGGCGCCACUAUAAACACUUGCCUGCGCCAGAACGGGCUGGGCCGACCAUCAGGCCCCACCGGGAAGAAGCCUUGGGCCGACCAUCAGGCCCCACCGGGAAGAAGCCUUGGGCCGACCACCAGGACCCACCGGGAAGAAGCCUUGGGCCGACCAUCAGGACCCACCGGGAAGAAGCCUUGGGCCGACCAUCAGGACCCACCGGGAAGAAGCCUUGGGCCGACCAUCAGGACCCACCGGGAAGAAGCC